UGGGGAAUAUUGGACAAUGGGCGAAAGCCUGAUCCAGCCAUGCCGCGUGUAGUGAAGAAGGUCUUCGGAUUGUAAAGCACUUUAAGUUGGGAGGAAGGGCAGUAAGUUAAUACCUUGAAAUGUUUUGACGUUACCGACAGAAUAAGCACCGGCCUAACUCUGUGC
rnacentral:rRNA from 1 species